UACGUAGGGUGCAAGCGUUAAUCGGAAUUACUGGGCGUAAAGCGUGCGCAGGCGGUUAUGUAAGACAGUUGUGAAAUCCCCGGGCUCAACCUGGGAACUGCAUCUGUGACUGCAUAGCUAGAGUACGGUAGAGGGGGAUGGAAUUCCGCGUGUAGCAGUGAAAUGCGUAGAGAUGCGGAGGAACACCGAUGGCGAAGGCAGCCCCCCUGGGCUAGCACUGACGCUCAGGCACGAAAGCGUGGGGAGCAAACAGG
rnacentral:rRNA from 1 species